UUGCCAUGGGCGCAAGCCUGAUGCAGCGACGCCGCGUGAGGGAUGACGGCCUUCGGGUUGUAAACCUCUUUCAGUAGGGAAGAAGCGAAAGUGACGGUUACCUGCAGAAGAAGCGCCGGCUAACUACGUGCCAGCAGCCGCGGUAAUA
rnacentral:rRNA from 1 species